AUGAUAUCAGACUGUUUAAAAACAAAUUUGAACAUUGCAGGCGCAUAUUUUAAGAAAAUGCAUAUUAUUUUGUCAUUUUGUGUGAUUCUAGGCAAAGUAGCAAACUAAUAAAUUUUUGAAUACUAGCAUCGAAGCAACUUGGAAAACUAUGAAAAUUUUGAAUACCAGCAGCAACAUGACUAAGCAAACCGAUACUAUCAAUGCCUGACUUAUAUUUGGGACUUUAAACAAUAAUGCUAAUCUUGAGCAUCAAUUGGAUCAGUUAAAACUUUAAAGGCAUGAUAGAAAAUAAAUUUUAAGCACUUAAUUUUGAAAGCUUAAAGGAAUUAAUGAUAAGAAUAAAUUGGCAUUACUCCUUCAAUUCUUUUUACAAACAACCUAAGACUUAAUAACUUAAAACUAAGCUUUUAAUACCUCUUCAAUUAUAGCUUGGAAGACAGACUUCAUAUCAUCUUUUGGCUUUGAUUUGUCUCGUGUUGGCUUUGAGAGGUAUCUUUUCACAAUUGAG
rnacentral:misc_RNA from 1 species